GCCACAUCACGUUGAAACAUCGGUUCCCGUAGGAUCAACGAAGUUAAGCAACGUCCAUCCCAGUCAGUACCUAGAUGGGUGACUGCUUAGGAAUACCAGGAGCAGUAA